rnacentral:rRNA from 1 species
UACGUAGGGGGCUAGCGUUGUCCGGAAUCAUUGGGCGUAAAGAGCGUGUAGGCGGUCCGGUAAGUCCGCUGUGAAAGUCGGGGGCUCAACCCUCGAAUGCCGGUGGAUACUGUCGGGCUAGAGUGCGGAAGAGGCGAGUGGAAUUCCCGGUAUAGUGGUGAAAUGCGUAGAUAUCGGGAGGAACACCAGUGGCGAAGGCGACUACCUGGCCUGUUCUUGACGCUGAGGCGCGAAAGCUAGGGGAGCAAACGGG